UACGAAGGGGGCUAGCGUUGCUCGGAAUCACUGGGCGUAAAGCGCACGUAGGCGGCUUUCUAAGUCAGGGGUGAAAUCCUGGAGCUCAACUCCAGAACUGCCUUUGAUACUGGAGAGCUCGAGUCCGGAAGAGGUGAGUGGAACUCCGAGUGUAGAGGUGAAAUUCGUAGAUAUUCGCAAGAACACCAGUGGCGAAGGCGGCUCACUGGCCCGGUACUGACGCUGAGGUGCGAAAGCGUGGGGAGCAAACAGGG
rnacentral:rRNA from 1 species